rnacentral:rRNA from 1 species
AGGACUAACGCUGGCGGCGUGCCUAACACAUGCAAGUCGAGCGGGGUAGCAAUACCCAGCGGCAGACGGGUGAGUAACGCGUGGUCAACCUUCCGUUGAAUGGGGGAUAACUAGCCGAAAGGUUAGCUAAUACCGCAUACGAUCUUUUGAAGGCAUCUUUAAAAGAUGAAAGGAGCAAUUCGUUCAACGACGGGACCGCGUCCCAUUAGCUAGAUGGUGGGGUAAUGGCCUACCAUGGCAACGAUGGGUAGCUGGUUUGAGAGAGCGACCAGCCACACUGGGACUGAGAAACGGCCCAGACUCCUACGGGAGGCAGCAGUGAGGAAUUUUCCGCAAUGGGCGAAAGCCUGACGGAGCGACGCCGCGUGUGGGAAGAAGGCCUUCGGGUCGUAAGCCACUGUCGAAGGGACGAUAAUGACGGUACCCUUGGAGGAAGCCCGGCUAACUACGCGCCAGCAGCCGC